GAUGAACGCUGGCGGCGUGCCUAACACAUGCAAGUCGAACGGAAAGGCCCAAGCUAGCUUGGGAGCUCGAAUGGCGAACGGGUGAGUAACACGUGGGUGAUCUGCCCUGCACUUUGGGAGAAGCCUGGGAAACUGGGUCUAAUACAGGAUAGGACCAACGGUCAGUGGCGGUGGGGGAAAGUGUUUCUGUGGGGGAUGAGCUCGCGGCCUAUCAGCAUGUUGGUGGGGUAAUGGCCUACCAAGGCGUCGACGGCGAGCCGGCCUGAGAGGGUGUACGGCCUCAUUGUCACUGGCAUUCGGCCCCGUCGCCGACGCCGAGCAGGAGUGGGAGAUAUUCCUACAUGGGCGCAAGCCUGAUGCAGCAUCGCCGCCUGGGUGAUGACCACCUGCGGCUUGCUGACUCCUUGCGCCAAGAACUGUGCGUAUCGUGACGGUACUUGGAGAAGAAGCACCGGCUAACUUCGUG
rnacentral:rRNA from 1 species